rnacentral:rRNA from 1 species
GAGUGUCAUCAUACCAGCUUUAAUGCACAAGAUCUUAUCAAAACUCAAUAGUUAAGCAUACUUGAGUUAGAACAUUAAGAUGAGUGAACUCCCCGAAAGUCAAGUCAUGGUGUUGC